rnacentral:misc_RNA from 1 species
GUUCGAGCGUCAUUACAAUCCUCAAGCUCAGCUUGGUAUUAAGCCUCACCCAUCAGGGCGGGCUGUAAAAUUAGUGGCGGUGCAUCUGGCUUCAAGCGUAGUAACUUUCUCGCUUUGGAGGACCUGUUGUGUGCCUGCCAGCAACCCCAAUUUUAUCAAAGGUUGACCUCGGAUCAGGUAGGGAUACCCGCUGAACUUAA